CCUACGGGCGGCAGCAGUGGGGAAUAUUGGACAAUGGGGGGAACCCUGAUCCAGCGACGCCGCGUGCGUGAAGAAGUCUUUCGGUUUGUAAAGCUCUAUCAGCAGGGAAGAAAGGAAUGACGGUACCUGACUAAGAAUCCCCGGCUAACUCCGUGCCAGCAGCCGCGGUAAUACGUAGGGGGCAAGCGUUAUCCGGAUUUACUGGGUGUAAAGGGAGCGUAGACGGUUACGCAAGUCUGGAGUGAAAGGCGGGGGCCCAAACCCCGGACUGCUUUGGAAACUGUAUAACUGGAGUGCAGGAGAGGUAAGUGGAAUGCCUAGUGUAGCGGUGAAAUGCGUAGAUAUUAGGAGGAACACCAGUGGCGAAGGCGGCUUACUGGACUGUAACUGACGUUGAGGCUCGAAAGCGUGGGGAGCAAACAGGAUUAGAUACCCCUGUAGUC
rnacentral:rRNA from 1 species